rnacentral:rRNA from 1 species
UACGUAGGGUGCGAGCGUUGUCCGGAAUUAUUGGGCGUAAAGAGCUCGUAGGCGGUUUGUCGCGUCUGCUGUGAAAACCCAGGGCUUAACCCUGGGCCUGCAGUGGGUACGGGCAAACUAGAGUGCGGUAGGGGAGAUCGGAAUUCCUGGUGUAGCGGUGAAAUGCGCAGAUAUCAGGAGGAACACCGGUGGCGAAGGCGGAUCUCUGGGCCGUAACUGACGCUGAGGAGCGAAAGCAUGGGUAGCGAACAGG